AAAGGUUUAAGACCUUGCCUGCAGCAGAGACACUUCCGAGAAAUGAAGUUCUUGGUGGAUAUAUCUUUGUUUGCAAUAAUGAUACAAUGCAGGAGGAUCUGAAGCGUCAACUAUUUGGUAAUUAUGUUACUCUUUCUCUAAUUUAAGUAAAUAUUUGGUAAUUAUGUUCUUUCUCUAAUUUAAGUGAUGAACAUUGAUUUGGUUAGUUUUAUAUGGUUAUCCAACUUUGAUACUUGUCAAUUUAGAGACUUGUCAAUGUAGAGCUAUUUAAAUUAUUAUUCCAAUAAUGGAAAUAUUUAUCAAAUAAUGAAUCGAACUGGUUGUGAAAUUGAUUUGAAUUUAACUUAUUUCUCUUGACUUAACUUUAGCGUGUUUAUCUGGACCAAGUAUAAAAAAAACUAGGAGAAAUGUGCCUGUACCCAGGGGCCUCCUGUUUGGAGGAAAGGAGGGAUAACUUACAGUCCUUGAACUUUGCCAAAAUAAAUAAAUAAAUCUUAGUAUUAUGUAUAUUUUACAAAUGGUGUAAAAUUAGUGAAAAUUAAUAUAUUUAUUAAAGAGUAGCUGAGAAUCCAUCAAAGAUGCGGAUGUAUUGUUGAUAAGAUUGAAGAGAUUGCAACAAUGGAGUUCUCUUCUUCCUUAGCAUUUUGGAAGAAAUUUGAGUCUAGAGAAAGACAAAGUGUUAACCAGAGCUUAGAGAGAAAGAGGGAAGUCGAGUGAGGAUUUUAGAGAGAGGAAAGGGAAGAGUACGUCUGUGUGUGCAAGAGAAUCUGAUGAAUAUCUGUAGAAUACACUGCACCACUAAGCUAAAUAGUCUCUUACUCGUGUCUUUCUGCGGCUUGACUAGAAACAUGGGUCACCUCUAAGACAAAUGUGGUGUGACCCUCACAUAUGCAGUACCGCAAAUCUAAGGGCUUAUAUAUAUUAUACAGUAUAAUAUAAUAAGGCUGAAAAGAAGUUGGUCAGCUGACCUAUCACAAUGAUUAAAAAGACGUGGUGGUUGACAUAGCAAGUCCAAACCAAGCAACCAGCGUCCAAGUCAAAAUCUCAUUUUCAAUCUUCAUUUAGUAUUAACAUAUAAUUUAUAUUAUACACACACACACAUAUAUUGUAACUUUUCUAUUUUUGUAGUUAAUGUCUCUUGACCCUUCUCUUCGCAAAGAUCCUGGGUCCACUAGUGUACCUGGACCUUAAACUACUUGACUAAGAAUUUUGUAGUACCCCUAUAAGCUAACCAUAAGCAAGCAAUUUAUCCAAUUUAUUUCGAGCUAGUUACUUAUGCAUAUUAAUUGUUAAAUAUUUUGCAGGUUUACCACCAAGAUAUAGGGAUUCUGUUCGAGCUAUAACGCCAGGCUUACCUCUGUUUCUAUAUAACUACACCACUCACCAGUUGCAUGGUAUUUUUGAGGUCUGUUGCUAUCUCUAGUCUUAAUUUUCAGCAAAGUUCAAUUCAACACCUUAUGAGUCCAUUUAUAUUUCAUUUUUCUGUCCCUUUUUUGUUGGGUUCUGAUUGAUUAAUGAUGGUCCUACAC
rnacentral:lncRNA from 1 species